UACAGAGGUCUAAGCGUUGUUCGGAUUCAUUGGGCGUAAAGGGUGCGUAGGUGGUGAUGCAAGUCUGGUGUGAAAUCUCGGAGCUUAACUCCGAAAUUGCACCGGAUACUGCGUUGCUCGAGGACUGUAGAGGAGAUCGGAAUUCACGGUGUAGCAGUGAAAUGCGUAGAUAUCGUGAGGAAGACCAGUUGCGAAGGCGGAUCUCUGGGCAGUUCCUGACACUGAGGCACGAAGGCCAGGGGAGCAAACGGG
rnacentral:rRNA from 1 species